rnacentral:rRNA from 1 species
GACGAACGCUGGCGGCGUGCCUAACACAUGCAAGUCGAGCGAUGAAGUUUCUUCGGAAACGGAUUAGCGGCGGACGGGUGAGUAACACGUGGGCAACCUGCCUUAUAGAGGGGAAUAGCCUUCCGAAAGGAAGAUUAAUACCGCAUAAGAUUGUAGCUUCGCAUGAAGUAGCAAUUAAAGGAGCAAUCCGCUAUAAGAUGGGCCCGCGGCGCAUUAGCUAGUUGGUGAGGUAACGGCUCACCAAGGCGACGAUGCGUAGCCGACCUGAGAGGGUGAUCGGGCACAUUGGGACUGAGACACGGCCCAGACUCCUACGGGAGGCAGCAGUGGGGAAUAUUGCACGAUGGGGGAAACCCUGAUGCAGCAACGCCGCGUGAGUGAUGACGGCCUUCGGGUUGUAAAGCUCUGUCUUCAGGGACGAUAAUGACGGUACCUGAGGGGGAAGCCACGGCUAACUACGUGCCAGCCGCCGCCGUAAUAC